rnacentral:rRNA from 1 species
UACGUAGGUGGCAAGCGUUGUCCGGAUUUACUGGGCGUAAAGGAUGCGUAGGCGGACAUUUAAGUCAGAUGUGAAAUACCCGAGCUUAACUUGGGUGCUGCAUUUGAAACUGGGUGUCUAGAGUGCAGGAGAGGUAAGUGGAAUUCCUAGUGUAGCGGUGAAAUGCGUAGAGAUUAGGAAGAACACCAGUGGCGAAGGCGACUUACUGGACUGUAACUGACGCUGAUGCACGAAAGUGUGGGGAUCAAACAGG